rnacentral:rRNA from 1 species
AUUGAACGCUGGAGGCGUGCUUAACACAUGCUAGUCGUGCGAGAAAGGGACUUCGGUCCUGAGUAGAGCGGCGCACGGGUGAGUAACGCGUGGGUGAUCUCCCUUGGUGAUCGGGAUGACAGCGGGAAACUGCUGCUAAUACCGGAUAAUCUUCAUGUUUAACUUCAUGGGGUAAAGGUGGCCUCUGCUUGCAAGCUACCACAUCAAGAUGAGCCCGCGUCUCAUUAGCUAGUUGGUAGGGUAACGGCCUACCAAGGCGACGAUGAGUAGCUGGUCUGAGAGGAUGACCAGCCACACUGGGACUGGAACACGGCCCAGACUCCUACGGGAGGCAGCAGUGGGGAAUAUUGCGCAAUGGGCGAAAGCCUGACGCAGCGACGCCUCGUGAGGGAUGAAGGUCUUCGGAUCGUAAACCUCUGUCAAGAGGGAAGAAACCCUUGGAUUCGAACAGGGUCCUUGGCUGACGGUACCUCAAGAAUAAGCACCGGCUAACUACGUGCCAGCCGCCGCAGUAA